GACGUAGGGCGCGAGCGUUGUCCGGAUUUAUUGGGCGUAAAGAGCUCGUAGGCGGCUCAUUGCGUCAACCAUGAAAACCUGCCGCUCAACGGUAGGCUUGCGGUUGAUACGGGUGGGCUGGAGUUCGGUAGGGGAGACUGGAAUUCCUGGUGUAGCGGUGAAAUGCGCAGAUAUCAGGAGGAACACCGGUGGCGAAGGCGGGUCUCUGGGCCGAUACUGACGCUGAGGAGCGAAAGCGUGGGGAGCGAACAGG
rnacentral:rRNA from 1 species